ensembl:misc_RNA Metazoa_SRP Metazoan signal recognition particle RNA
GCCGGGCGCGGUGGCUCGUGCCUGUAGUCCCAGCUACUCGGGAGACUGAGGUGGGAUCGCUUGAGCCUAGGAGUUCUGGGCUGUAGUGCGCUAUGCUGAUUGGGUGUCUGCAUUAAGUUCGACAUCACUAUGGUGACCUCCUGGGAGCAGGGGACCACCAGGUUGCCUAAGGAGGGGUGAAUCGGCCCAGGUCGGAAACGAAGCAGGUCAAAACUCCCGUGCUGAUCGGCAGUGGGAUCACUCCUGUGAUUAGCAACUGCACUCCAGCCUGGGCAUCAUAGCGUGACCUUGUCUCUU